rnacentral:rRNA from 1 species
UACGAAGGGGGCUAGCGUUGCUCGGAAUCACUGGGCGUAAAGCGCACGUAGGCGGAUCUUUAAGUCAGGGGUGAAAUCCCAAGGCUCAACCUUGGAACUGCCUUUGAUACUGGGGGAUCUCGAGUCCGGAAGAGGUGAGUGGAACUGCGAGUGUAGAGGUGAAAUUCGUAGAUAUUCGCAAGAACACCAGUGGCGAAGGCGGCUCACUGGCCCGGUACUGACGCUGAGGUGCGAAAAGCGUGGGGGAGCAAACAGG